GUAGGGUGGCAAGCGUUGUCCGGAAUUAUUGGGCGUAAAGCGCGCGCAGGCGGUCCUUUAAGUCUGAUGUGAAAGCCCACGGCUCAACCGUGGAGGGUCAUUGGAAACUGGGGGACUUGAGUACAGAAGAGGAAAGCGGAAUUCCAAGUGUAGCGGUGAAAUGCGUAGAGAUUUGGAGGAACACCAGUGGCGAAGGCGGCUUUCUGGUCUGUAACUGACGCUGAGGCGCGAAAGCGUGGGGAGCAAACAGGAUUAGAUACCCUGGUAGUCCACGCCGUAAACGAUGAGUGCUAAGUGUUAGGGGGUUUCCGCCCCUUAGUGCUGCAGCUAACGCAUUAAGCACUCCGCCUGGGGAGUACGGCCGCAAGGCUG
rnacentral:rRNA from 1 species